UGAAGACAGUCGAAACAUGCCUAUGUCAUUUCUCAUUUUCUAUUGGCUGCUUUCAUUCACGUGAUCAAAACAUAAUCAUGGCGGCCUCUGCUGCAGUCCGGUCGAGCGUGGGGCUGACUUUGAGACUUUCUAGAGUUAUACCAGAUUGUAGCACAUGUCCUUUCAACAGGUUGAAUAGUUAUUUGAAUGGUAUAGCUAGUUCUUCGAAUGGUGAUCGUUUUCGGACGUUGAACCGACACUUGCAGACAUCCAGAGGUCUGUACCACAGUGAGGAGGGUGCAAGUGCAGAAGUCCCCCAAGAAGAUGUGGUGAAUGUGGUGUACAUAGAUAGAUCAGGAAAGAGGAUUCCAGUGAAGGCUAAAGUGGGAUAGGCACAACAUUGAAUAGGCACAACAUUGAACUGGAAGGAGCUUGCGAGGCGUCACUAGCUUGCUCAACGUGCCACGUGUAUGUGAACAGAGACCACGUCGACAAGCUACCAGAGCCUGAC